GCGCCCGCUCGCGCCGGGAGGGGCCCUCGCGCCCCGCGCCCACAGGUGCACGCGCCCUUGGCGCCGCCUGCACCCCACGCGCCCCCUCCGCUCCCCGGCCGACGGCCCACCUGGGCUUCGUGAACAGUGGGAGGGAGAGUCUGGGGCCAGGAGAGGGACGGUGCAGGAUCAGGGAAAGUUCCAGAAAAGUCUAAGAUCAAGAUGCAGAUAGGAUUGGAAUCCUCAGAGGUCUCCUUGGCUUGCAGAUGGCUGCACCCUUGCUAAGUCCUCACACGUUCUUUCCUCUGCACAGAACCGUGUGCUAACUCCUCAUCAAAGACCAGAAGUAGAUCCUGAAUUGUAUUCAUUCUCAUCUCUUUCUACCUCCUCCAAGACAGAAGGACAUGAUUAACUUCUUUAUCUCAAUGUCAGCCUUCAAUAGCUACAAAAGUCUAAACUGUAAAUAGCGUUGAAGCUUUGCAUAAUAAAAUUCUUUUCCCCAGUGAUGGGCAGUUUUUCACAUAGUAACAUUCUUUUAAUCUUUUUUUCUUUUUAAUGAGUAGACAUAAAGAAAUGCUUAAAUAAAUAAUUAUCAACUAACUUACCUACAUUUAACUACACAUACCUAACAGACCUGAAUAUAGGCAGAGGAUGUGACAUUUUACUUACCCUUUUAUUAAAGUUACUGCUUCAUUUAUUGGUCUUUACUUCACUAGUGCAUCCAUAAAAUGUUUACAUUUUUUUAAACAAUAAAAUACUCUUGAAAUUAGUCCUUCUCUGUAAUCACUACAUAAAACUGCUUUAGAGACAGCCUUCAGAUCAACUAAAUUAUAUUUUACAAAAUGGCUUAGGUAUUUCAGUAGUAACUCUAUGGAACAACAGAAUUCACUGUUUAACCAGGGACCAAUAUUGGCAGCUGGCUUCCAUAACUUGUUUGAGGAAUGUAGUAAUUCCAAGGUUGCUGCAAGGACUAAUGUACAGGAAUAUUCCUGUAUUUUAUGGAAUAAAAAGGAAGAACGAGAGGAG
rnacentral:lncRNA from 10 species